GGACCCAUGGCGCAACGGUAGCGCGUCAGAUUCCAGUUCUUGGAACUACCUGAAGGUGUAUGUCUACUCAUCUUGGCUCCUCUUGCGACAGCGCAAUAUCUAACAUUCAAGCAGUAAGCGUUCGAAUCGCUUUGGGUUCA
rnacentral:tRNA from 1 species